AAUUCCUACGGGGGGCAGCAGUGGGGAAUAUUGCACAAUGGGGGGAACCCUGAUGCAGCGACGCCGCGUGGGCGAUGGAGUAUAUCGGUAUGUAAAGCCCUAUCGGCAGGGAAGAAACUGACAGUACCUGACUAAGAAGCCCCGGCUAACUACGUGCCAGCCGCCGCGGUAAUACGUAGGGGGCAAGCGUUAUCCGGAUUCACUGGGCGUAAAGGGAGCGCAGGCGGCACGGCAAGCCUUGUGUGAAAACCCCGGGCCCAACCCCGG
rnacentral:rRNA from 1 species